rnacentral:rRNA from 1 species
UACGUAGGGUGCAAGCGUUACUCGGAAUUACUGGGCGUAAAGCGUACGCAGGCGGUUUUGUAAGUCAGAUGUGAAAUCCCCGGGCUUAACCUGGGAACUGCGUUUGAAACUACAAGGCUAGAGUGUGGCAGAGGGGGGUGGAAUUCCACGUGUAGCAGUGAAAUGCGUAGAGAUGUGGAGGAACACCGAUGGCGAAGGCGGCUCACUGGACCGGAACUGACGCUGAGGCGCGAAAGCGUGGGGAGCAAACAGG